rnacentral:rRNA from 1 species
GUGGGGAAUCUUGCGCAAUGGGCGAAAGCCUGACGCAGCAACGCCGCGUGCGGGAUGAAGGCCUUCGGGUUGUAAACCGCUUUCAGCAGGGACGAAAAUGACGGUACCUGCAGAAGAAGCUCCGGCUAACUACGUGCCAGCAGCCGCGGUAAUACGUAGGGAGCAAGCGUUGUCCGGAUUUAUUGGGCGUAAAGAGCUCGUAGGCGGUUUCGUAAGUCGAGUGUGAAAAAUCUGGGCUUAACCCAGUGGAGCACUCGAUACUGCGAUGACUUGAGUCUGGUAGAGGAGUGUGGAAUUCCUGGUGUAGCGGUGAAAUGCGCAGAUAUCAGGAGGAACACCAACGGCGAAGGCAGCACUCUGGGCCAGUACUGACGCUGAGGAGCGAAAGCGUGGGGAGCAAACAGGAUUAGAUACCCCAGUAGUCC